GACGAACGCUGGCGGCGUGCCUAAUACAUGCAAGUCGAGCGAAUGACGAGAAGCUUGCUUCUCUGAUUUAGCGGCGGACGGGUGAGUAACACGUGGGCAACCUGCCCUACAGAUCGGGAUAACUCAGGGAAACCUGGGCUAAUACCGGAUAAUCCUUCGAAUCACGUGUUUUGAAGUUGAAAGGCGCUUCGGCGUCACUGUAGGAUGGGCCCGGGGUGCAUUAGCUAGUUGGUGGGGUAACGGCCUACCAAGGCAACGAUGCAUAGCCGACCUGGGAGGGUGAUCGGCCAAAUUGGGACUGAGACAAGGCCCAAACUCCUACGGGAGGCAGCAGUAGGGAAUCUUCCACAAUGGACGAAAGUCUGAUGGAGCGACGCCGCGGGAGUGAUGAAGGUUGUCGGAUUGUAAAACUCUGUUGUAAGGGAAGAACAAGUACGUUAGGAAAUGAACGUACCUUGACGGUACCUUAUUAGAAAGCCACGGCUAACUACGUGCCAGCCGCCGCCGUAA
rnacentral:rRNA from 1 species